AUUCAGCUGACGAGUCUCAAAAUCGGAAGAAACGCGCGUUCUGGAU
rnacentral:hammerhead_ribozyme from 1 species